ACUUUGUCUACCGAAGGUACUGUACAAAAUUGGAACGAUACAGAGAAGAUUAGCAUGGCCCCU
rnacentral:snRNA from 1 species